CUAUCAGCAGUGCACCCCUAUGAUAUACAAGUCUUCAUUGCCAAGUCAGUCUGCCAAACAGUGUGUACACCCUUCUUGCAUUGGUAGUGACCCACUUUACUGUACUUCAAUGUCAGAGUCUGGAUAUGUCAGGCCAAGGAGAUCAAGUUUUGUGUCCAAGGUUACUUAGGUAAUCUCUAAGAACAAUAGACAGACUCUACAUGUUACUGAUCUGGAGGUUAGUGGCUCAAUCAUUGUGCACUGAUUGUUCGCUGAUGCCUUGAUUCUCCACUGUCACCUUUAUUGCCAUAAAGUUUAUCUAGAGAUCUACAUAUCAAGACUAAAUGGUCAAUUAAACAUGAGGUCAAGGAUAAAGGAUGAACAUUUCAAGGCUACAGGAGGAACAUUAAACGUCUCUCUCACUGUGAAAAGAUUCUACCGAUCUACAAAUGGUCAACAUGUUUUAUCCAAAGUUCAUCUGCCAUUUCUUCAAAUGGAGCCAUAGUACGAAUAAG